AUUGAACGCUGGCGGCAGGCCUAACACAUGCAAGUCGAACGGUAACAGGAAGCAGCUUGCUGCUUUGCUGACGAGUGGCGGACGGGUGAGUAAUGUCUGGGAAACUGCCUGAUGGAGGGGGAUAACUACUGGAAACGGUAGCUAAUACCGCAUAACGUCGCAAGACCAAAGAGGGGGACCUUCGGGCCUCUUGCCAUCGGAUGUGCCCAGAUGGGAUUAGCUAGUAGGUGGGGUAAAGGCUCACCUAGGCGACGAUCCCUAGCUGGUCUGAGAGGAUGACCAGCCACACUGGAACUGAGACACGGUCCAGACUCCUACGGGAGGCAGCAGUGGGGAAUAUUGCACAAUGGGCGCAAGCCUGAUGCAGCCAUGCCGCGUGUAUGAAGAAGGCCUUCGGGUUGUAAAGUACUUUCAGCCGGGAGGAAGGGAGUAAAGUUAAUACCUUUGCUCAUUGACGUUACCCGCAGAAGAAGCACCGGCUAACUCCGUG
rnacentral:rRNA from 1 species